rnacentral:rRNA from 1 species
AUUGAACGCUGGCGGCAGGCCUAACACAUGCAAGUCGAACGAGUGGCGGACGGGUGAGUAAUGUCUGGGAAACUGCCUGCUGGAGGGGGAUAACUACUGGAAACGGUAGCUAAUACCGCAUACCAUCGGAUGUGCCCCGAUGGGAUUCGCUAGUAGGUGGGGUAACGGCUCAACUAGGCGACGAUCCCUAGCUGGUCUGAGAGGAUGACGAGCCAAACUGGAACUGAGACACGGUCCAGACUCCUACGGGAGGCAGCAGGGGGGAAUAUUGCACAAUGGGCGCAAGCCUGAUGCAGCCAUGCCGAGUGUAUGAAGAAGGCCUUCGGGUUGUAAAGUACUUUCAGCGGGGAGGCGUUACCCGCAGAAGAAGCACCGGCUAACUCCGUGCCAGCAGCCGCGGUAAUUC